CUAAGAAUCUUCCGCAAUGGACGAAAGUCUGACGGAGCGACGCCGCGUGGACGAUGAAGGCCGAAAGGUUGUAAAGUCCUUUUCCUGGAGAAGAAUAAGCAGAUGAGGAAAUGCGUCUGUGAUGACGUUACCCAGGGAAUAAGCCCCGGCUAAUUACGUGCCAGCAGCCGCGGUAACACGUAAGGGGCAAGCGUUGUUCGGAAUUAUUGGGCGUAAAGGGCGUGCAGGCGGUCGUGCAAGUCUGGUGUGAAAGGUUGGAGCUUAACUCCAAACGCGCGCUGGAAACUGCUCUGACUUUUUGAGUCCCGGAGAGGAAGCUAGAAUUCCAGGUGUAGGGGUGAAAUCUGUAGAUAUCUGGAAGAAUACCGAUGGCGAAGGCAAGCUUCUGGCCGAGGACUGACGCUGAUGCGCGAAAGCGUGGGGAGCAAACAGGAUUAGAUACCCUGGUAGUCCACGCCGUAAACGAUGUACACUAGGUGUUGGGGAGUUAUCCCUGGUGCCGGAG
rnacentral:rRNA from 1 species